rnacentral:ncRNA from 1 species
CUCAUAUAAUGAGGCUGCGGAUAACAAAUAGUACCAUGACUGGAAAAGGUGUUACCGCCGAAGCAACUAGAUUUGCUGGGUGUAAAUUGAAUAAAUUUACAACUGUUUCUUAAAACUCGCCUAAAGGUUUAAGAAUUGCGCAUUAUUUGAG